AUUGAACGCUGGCGGCAGGCUUAACACAUGCAAGUCGAGCGAGCGGCGGACGGGUGAGUAAUGUCUGGGAAACUGCCUGAUGGAGGGGGAUAACUACUGGAAACGGUAGCUAAUACCGCAUACCAUCAGAUGUGCCCAUAUGGGAUUAGCUAGUAGGUGGGGGAAUGGCUCACCUGGGCGACGAUCCCUAGCUGGUCUGAGGGGAUGACCAGCCACACGGGAACUGGGAAACGGUCCAGACUCCGACGGGAGGCAGCAUUGGGGAAUAUUGCACAAGGGGCGAAAGCCUGAUGCAGCCAUGCGGCGUGUGUGAAGAAGGCCUUCGGGUUGUAAAGAACUUUCAGCGAGGAGGCGUUACUCGCAGAAGAAGCACCGGCUAACUCCGUGCCAGCAGCCGCGGUAAUUC
rnacentral:rRNA from 1 species